GGCUGAAUAGUAAGUCAGAGGUGAAAAUCCAUAGCUUAACUGUGGACUAGCCUUUGAUACUGUUAUUCUUGAGUGCAGUUGAAGUGGGCGGAAUAUAGCAUGUAGCGGUGAAAUGCAUAGAUAUGCUAUAGGACACCGAUUGCGAAGGCAGCUCGCUAAGCUGUAACUGACGCUGAGGCACGAAAGCUUGGAUAGCAAACAGGAUUAGAUACCCUGGUAGUCCAGGCUGUAAACGAUGAACACUCGCUGUUGGCAAUACAUCGUCAGCGGCUGAGCGAAAGCGUUAAGUGUUCCACCUGGGAAGUACGAUCGCAAGGUUGAAACUCAAAGGAAUUGACGGGGGCCCGCACAAGCGGAGGAGCAUGUGGUUUAAUUCGAUGAUACGCGAGGAACCUUACCUGGGCUUAAAUGCAUAUUGACGUACUGCGAAAGCAGUAUUCCUUCGGGCAAUUUGCAAGGUGCUGCAUGGUUGUCGUCAGCUCGUGCCGUGAGGUGUCGGGUUAAGUCCCAUAACGAGCGCAACCCCUACUUCUAGUUACCAGCAUUACGGAUGGGGACUCUAGAGGAACUGCCUACGCAAGUAGAGAGGAAGGUGGGGAUGACGUCAAAUCAGCACGGCCCUUAUGUCCAGGGCUACACACGUGCUACAAUGGGCGGUACAGAGGGCAGCUACACAGCGAUGUGGUGCUAAUCUCCAAAGCCGUUCACAGUCCGGAUUAGAGUCUGCAACUCGACUCUAUGAAGCUGGAUUCGCUA
rnacentral:rRNA from 1 species